rnacentral:lncRNA from 1 species
GGAGAGCAGAGAGGGAGCGCGCCUUGGCUCGCUGGCCUUGGCUGCGGCUCCUCGGGAGAGCUGGGGCGCCCACGAGAGGAUCCCUCACCUGGGUCUCUCCUCAGGGAUGACAUCAUCCGUCCACCUCCUUGUCUUCAAGGACCACCUCCUCUCCAUGCUGAGCUGCUGCCAAGGGGCCUGCUGCCCAUCUACACCUCACGAGGGCACUAGGAGCACGGAUUCCUGGAUCCCACCAACAUACAAAGCAGCCACUCACUGACCCCCAGGACCAGGAUGGCAAAGGAUGAAGAGGACCGGAACUGACCAGCCAGCUGUCCCUCUUACCUAAAGACUUAAACCAAUGCCCUAGUGAGGGGGCAUUGGGCAUUAAGCCCUGACCUUUGCUAUGCUCAUACUUUGACUCUAUGAGUACUUUCCUAUAAGUCUUUGCUUGUGUUCACCUGCUAGCAAACUGGAGUGUUUCCCUCCCCAAGGGGGUGUCAGUCUUUGUCGACUGACUCUGUCAUCACCCUUAUGAUGUCCUGAAUGGAAGGAUCCCUUUGGGAAAUUCUCAGGAGGGGGACCUGGGCCAAGGGCUUGGCCAGCAUCCUGCUGGCAACUCCAAGGCCCUGGGUGGGCUUCUGGAAUGAGCAUGCUACUGAAUCACCAAAGGCACGCCCCACCUCUCUGAAGAUCUUCCUAUCCUUUUCUGGGGAAUGGGGUCGAUGAGAGCAACCUCCUAGGGUUGUUGUGAGAAUUAAAUGAGAUAAAAGAGGCCUCAGGCAGGAUCUGGCAUAGAGGAGGUGAUCAGCAAAUGUUUGUUGAAAAGGUUUGACAGGUCAGUCCCUUCCCACCCCUCUUGCUUGUCUUACUUGUCUUAUUUAUUCUCCAACAGCACUCCAGGCAGCCCUUGUCCACGGGCUCUCCUUGCAUCAGCCAAGCUUCUUGAAAGGCCUGUCUACACUUGCUGUCUUCCUUCCUCACCUCCAAUUUCCUCUUCAACCCACUGCUUCCUGACUCGCUCUACUCCGUGGAAGCACGCUCACAAAGGGCUAAUCUCGGGCCUUGUUGAAGGAAGAGGCUGCAGACGUUAAUGAGGUUAGCUGCUGGAUUCCAGUAUUCGUCGCAUAAGGAUCCUUCUUUGUCUGCGAAGGAAAAACACACUGAUUAUCAUAAUGAGGCACGUGGGCCGUGGCCCGGCUGGGUCGGCUGAAGAACUGCGGAUGGAAGCUGCGGAAGAGGCCCUGAUGGGGCCCACCAUCCCGGACCCAAGUCUUCUUCCUGGCGGGCCUCUCGUCUCCUUCCUGGUUUGGGCGGAAGCCAUCACCUGGAUGCCUACGUGGGAAGGGACCUCGAAUGUGGGACCCCAGCCCCUCUCCAGCUCGAAAUCCCUCCACAGCCACGGGGACGCCCUGCACCUAUUCCCACGGGACAGGCUGGACCCAGAGACUCUGGACCCGGGGCCUCCCCUUGAGUAGAGACCCGCCCUCUGACUGAUGGACGCCGCUGACCUGGGGUCAGACCCGUGGGCUGGACCCCUGCCCACCCCGCAGGAACCCUGAGGCCUAGGGGAGCUGUUGAGCCUUCGGUGUCUGCAUGUGGGAAGUGGGCUCCUUCACCUACCUCACAGGGCUGUUGUGAGGGGCGCUGUGAUGCGGUUCCAAAGCACAGGGCUUGGCGCACCCCACUGUGCU